AUACCUUUCUAUGAUUUCUUGUUCAUAUUGCCCUAACUUUGUAGUUGGAGAAAAAUGAAAUGCUAAAGAACAUAAUAGUUAACUAUUAAACUGAAAAAGGAUGACUCAAAAAAGAAAAGAGGAUACUUAUUCCCGUAAAGUAAAGAUAUAUUCUGGAAUGCAAAAAGGUUUCACCAAGCAUGUCUAAUCACUCACACGCAACACUCAAGAGUUU
rnacentral:lncRNA from 1 species